UUCAGCAGCAUAUAUACUAAAAAAAAAAUGGAACGAUACAGAGAUGAGCAUGGUUCCUGUAUAAGGAUGACAUGCACAUUCAUGAAUCAUUCCAUAUUUAA
rnacentral:snRNA from 1 species